CAAGAAGUCAUCAAAAGAAGUAGUCGCAUUUAUUAGUCAGUAUUCAAAGUAUGUUUUACAAUAUCGGCAAGCAAGGAGCAACGUACAAACUCUUUUUAAAAACAUGUUUGUAAACACAGUUAAGCUGGCGUCAUUGUUAUCAUGCCUUUUUCUUUUUAUUUCGAUGGUAGUUGAACGUGAGGGAAAAGAAGAAAAAUUUAAAGCUCUUAACAUCAAGAGGGGCAGUUUAUAUAUGCAGGGUCAUACAUCCAACAAGAAAGAAAAUGGUGUGCAUAGUACUCAAUUUAAAAAAAAUGAUCGUGAAAGCUUAAAUGGUCUGCGACACUUAAAUCUGCUGAAAAAACGGUAUAAAAAGGAGAGAUCAAAGAGAUUAUCGUUGUUCAAUGAUCCACUAUGGCGUAAACAGAUAUACCUGAAAGGGUACACUUUUGCCGAUCAUAAAGUGAGUAACGUCUGGAAGGCAGGAUACACAGGUAAAAAUAUAACUGUUGCAGUCGUUGAUUCUGGCUUGAGAUUCACCCAUCGGGAGUUUUAUGGACGUUAUGAUCCCUCAUUAAGUUACAAUUAUGCAAAUGACGACAGAAAUCUUUUUCUUUGGAACGAGCAUGGUACAAACUGUGCUGGAGUCAUUGUUGGAGCUGCGAACAAUGGAAUCUGUGGUGUUGGUAUAGCGUUUGAAGCAAAAAUUGCAGGUAUUCAGUUCACAUAUUCUGGAAUUCCAAGUGAUGCAGUUCUUGCUCAAGCAUUAUUUCCGUUCAAUGGUCGUGGGAUUGAUAUUUUCUCAAACAGCUGGGGUCCUCCAGAUACUGGUUUUGUAGUCAAAGGUCCUGGACCUUUGACAGAGCAAGCCUUAGAGAACGGGGUUACUAAAGGGAGAAAUGGUCGAGGCUCAAUUUACGUAUUCUCUGCAGGGAAUGGAGCUUUUUUUGGUGACAACUGCGCGUUUAAUGGAUUUGUAAAUAAUAUUCAUACAAUCGCUGUUGCUGCUGUUUACUCAAAUGGUAGACCACAUGUUACCUCUGAAAGUUGCAGUGCAAUAAUGACAGCUGCUUUCUCUGAUAACCUGGUAACUGCCUCAUCUUCUAGUAACACAUCUUGCAGCUCUACAUUUGGCCAAACGUCAGCUGCUAGUGCUAUGGUAUCUGGAAUAAUAGCACUUGUUCUCCAAGCUAAACAACUGUUAACAUGGCGCGAUGUUCAGCAUUUAAUUGCAAGGUCAAGCAAAGUUGAUGUUCUUCACAAAAGUGUAAAGAAAAAGUAUAAUGCGGCAGGAUUUCUUGCUAGUGAACGAGUUGGCUUUGGUUUUUUGGAUGCAUCUUUGUUUCUAAGAAUGGCAAAAAAAUCAAGCAAUAUGCUACCAGAACAAUUAAAAUGUGAAGUAAGCUUUGGACCGCAACAAAUUUUAAGAGGAAAGACAACCUUUAAUAUACUGAUCAACAAAACUACGUGUGGUAAUGGAGUUAUAAACUUUCUGGAACAUGUUGUUGCCACAUUUGAUCUGACGUAUUUUAAACGUGGUGUCCUUGGUGCUUACAUUAAGUCUCCAAGUGGUACAGUGUCAAAAGUAAUGAGUCCACGCUUUAUGGACGCCUUGGUUGGUAACAAAAGAUUAAGCAAUUUAAGUACAUUGAGUGUUCAUUUUUGGGGUGAGCCAUCAACAGGAUCUUGGAAAAUUUCACUGAAAAAUGAACUUGAAAAUUUUGGAAAAGGCACAGGUACCUUAAUCAGACUUCGUCUUUCUUUAUAUGGAACAAGAACAGCUCCGUUUAGUUCCACGUCAAGCGCUGGUGUAUCUCCGUGCAUUUCUAAUCCAUGUUUGAAUGGUGGCUUUUGUAAAUUUGUAAAUACGUCUUUUCAUUGUUGUUGUUCUAAUGGAUUUACAGGAAGACGAUGCAAAACUAAAGUAAAAAGUAAUUGUCAUGUCUUUUGGAACAAUGAAAAUUGGAUAAGUUGCAAACCAAACAAUUACUAUAUGACGGGUAUAUACAGAAAACAUACAAGAUCCGGAUGGAUCUUUUACACUUCUUCCACUUCUUCAAUGAAAGGCAAACAUCGAUGUUGAGACAAUGGCUUUUAUAGUCAACCAAAGUGUGUUGAAAUAAGUAAAAUUAUUAAAGCUAACAGUGGCAAAGAAUGGAAAUGCCCAUCUGGAUAUUUCUUAUCAGAAAUACAACAGUCGCGCGAUGGUUAUAUGAAAUUUGCUAAGUGCUGCAAGCCAAAGGAUGGUCCAAAGUCAUAUGGAGAUUGCUACGUAAAGAACACAGACUGGAACAAACCUUCUUUUAAGGAGGGUUGGGCUCAGUGCACUCAACCUAACUACUUCAUUACGCAAUUGAAUGGGGCAAGCUGCAAUGAGCUGCGAUGCGUAAAAGAACUCAAAUGUUGUCGAAAAAAGACGGCUGACUGCUUUGCAAAGUGACUUCCUUAUUUUUUAGACGACUCAUUACAAAUUAUUACGUGUAGUGGCGUGUAGUCGUGAUGUGAAAAUGCGAAAUAAAGCACAAAGCUAAUACGCCAUUUCAUUUAUGCUCAAAGUCUUUCUUAACACACACGAUUUUUAAAAAAAUCACAUAUGCGUUGAAAAUAUCCGUAACGAAUGGAAUGGAGGAUCUAGAAUACGUGAAUAUCAA